rnacentral:lncRNA from 1 species
GGAGGGAGGCUGAGGAGCCCGAGAGCUCUGCGCCAGUCCCGCGCCUUGUCACCGCGUCUCCGAGCGCUCGGGUCUCAGGAACUGCGGGCUCCGCAGGGCGCCCGCGGCCCUCCUCGGGCGACGCUGAUUGGUGAUGGCUUAGGCUCCGCCCUAAAGGGGCGUGAUCACACGCUUAGCCAGGUGUGCUAGGAUGGUCCUGGUCCUAGCCAUUCUAGCCAUCAAAGGACCACACGCAAGGACCAACUUCUGCCUAUGGCUGGUGGCGCACGUACAAGGAACUGUCAGAAUCCCUGCUGAUGGAAGUGCCCAGGUGGGCCUGGCGGCAGACAUCUUGGAAUCCCACCAAUGUGAAGACUUGAGUAUCACAAUGGCUGCAAGUUCGAGACCAGCCCAGGCUAAAUAGAUCCUGUCAAAAUAAUAACAGUAAUGUUGUAAAUGAAUAUGUGUGGUAGCCUGUUUGUAAUACCAGCUCUUGGGAAGCUAAAGGAAAAAAGUGUUUGUUUUGUACCUGACCAGGAACUGAGGUGCAUAUUUUACAUAUCAAAGCAGACUUGACCUCCGGACUUCCCCAGCGUCCUUUUAGUCCCUAUCUGGCAUUCCCUGCCCCCAACCUUGAACUUUCCAGCCCAGGAGCUAGGCUGCCCUUACCCCCAGAGGCUCCCUAUAUUUCUAGACAUUUUCUCUGUCUCCUCUCUGCCUGCAUGCCCUUUCUUUUUUUCUCUCUCCCUUCCUUAUCCCAUCCUUACCCCCGUGGCGACUCCUGAGGCCAGUGAACUAGCCUGCCUGAGAGAGCUUCCCAAUAAACCUGCCUUUAAUAGACUCGAA